rnacentral:lncRNA from 1 species
GCGAAGGCGGGCUGAGCCCGGCGCCGGGAGGAGUGGUCUAAACUCCACCGCGGCUUUCGCAUCGUUAAAGCCGGCAGCGGAAAUUUGAAGGAGGAAGCGGGGAGACGUGUCUUUAGGAAGCAGAGAGGGUUCGAUUCUGGACUCCGCCCAUGACUCACUUCUCUUGUAAAGAAAGAGUUGUCCUUCCUGGUACUCCAGGUUUAUGGGAUGCAGGAUAAUGGAGCAUGCUCUAUCUGGGACAUUGCUAGUCUUAUGACAGAGGGAGAAGACAGCGAUGAGUUUUCGAAGAACUCCAGGAAGUGGC